AGUGAACGCUGGCGGCAGGCCUAACACAUGCAAGUCGAACGAGUCGCAGACGGGUGAGGAAUAUAUCGGAAUCUACUCUGUCGUGGGGGAACACGUAGGGAAACUUACGCUAAUACCGCAUACGCUUGAAUGCCCAGAUGUAGGAUUAGCUAGUGGGUGGGGUAAAGGCACACCACGGCGACGAUCCGUAGCUGGUCUGAGAGGAUGAUCAGCCACACUGGAACUGAGACACGGUCCAGACUCCGACGGGAGGCAGCAGUGGGGAAUAUUGGACAAUGGGCGCAAGCCUGAUCCAGCCAUGCCGCGUGGGUGAAGAAGGCCUUCGGGUUGUAAAGUCCUUUUGUUGGGAAAGCGGUACCCAAAGAAUAAGCACCGGCUAACUUCGUGCCAGCCGCCGCGGUAAUAC
rnacentral:rRNA from 1 species